ACUGGUAGAGCUGUUCACGUUGGGAGCACCGGUUCUCGUCCGAUCAUCGAAGUUAAGCAACGUCAAUCCCAGUGAGUACUUAGCUAGGUGACCGCUUGAGAAACCUAGGUGCUGUAAGCG
rnacentral:rRNA from 1 species